AUUGAACGCUGGCGGCAGGCUUAACACAUGCAAGUCGAACGAGUGGCGGACGGGUGAGUAAUGCUUGGGAAUCUGGCUUAUGGAGGGGGAUAACGACGGGAAACUGUCGCUAAUACCGCGUACCAUAGGAUGAGCCCAAGUGGGAUUAGGUAGUGGGUGGGGUAAUGGCCUACCAAGCCGACGAUCUCUAGCUGGUCUGAGAGGAUGACCAGCCACACCGGUACUGGAACCCGGCCCGGACUCCGACGGGAGGCAGCAGUGGGGAAUAUUGCGCAAUGGGGGCAAGCUGAUCCAGCCAUGCCGCGUGUCUGAAGAAGGCCUUCGGGUUGUAAAGGACUUUUGGUGACGAGGCGUUAAUCACAGAAGAAGCACCGGCUAACUCCGUGCCAGCAGCCGCGGUAAUUC
rnacentral:rRNA from 1 species